AUGGAAGAAACAAAACAAACAACUCUGAUAGUUGUUGUUUUCGGUGAUGCUGUCGAGUCGUGCGGUCGUGCUGCAGCCCCGAGGAUCCCGUAGGAUGCCAAGGGCAUUCUCGAUUCUUCUGGAGGUGUUCCCACAGAUCCGGUGUUCUCAAGAAUCAGGAAUGUCCCUUCGUGGGUGAUAAGGUUCGGUUUGAAUGAUCUUCCACAAGGUAUUUAUUAUAUAUUUAUGUGAGCUUCAGGUGGAUGCCGUCGCAAGAAAUGCACCCCACGUACUUCGAAUGAUUUGUUCGUGGAUUAUAAAUUUUUCCUGCAGAGCCUGCUCGUCGGCAGAUUGAUCCAAUGGCAACAUCUAUUCGUCGAUCAAUCCGGUUUCCCUGAUGUCACCCUGAGACGAGACCUGCAAAGACGCUGCUUCUUUUCUCUUGUUUUGACACUUGUUCUUCUUUUCAUCACAGUUGACCAUCGAGUUUCAACUGUUUACUCGACUGUUUCACCUAAGCCCCAGGUGGACCCUUCUGAGCACAAUAAAAGUGUAUCCAAUUAACGAAAUAGUUAAUUCAUUUUCAUAAGGAUUUUUAUACCGGGAACAAAACACAGGUUUAUUACUGAUUAUUAACAAGCUAAACGGAAGGUUUGGAAUACUCGUUAAAGUAAAAAAGUCUUGGUAAAACAAAAAUGAUGUGGAAUAUUUUAUUUGGGAUACCAAUACUUUCACUCAAAAAGCUGCUGGUUGCACCUGACAGUUCGUGACAGCAGUUGACUGGCAGCAGCUGAAGUUACAUUUUUUCCUCUUUGCAGGUCUCGUCUCAGAUGUCACCGGUUGAACAAGCAACAUUAAUCCGCAAAAACCGGAACCGAUUUUAACGUUCCGGCCUACUCCUACGAGAACGUGUCCUCCAAUGCAAAGCACAGCACUAGUCACGGUCAGAUUGCAGGAUUAUCGAAUCUCCAGCCGCAGCAGCAGCGCUGCCCACUUCUUUCUCAAUGAGUUGUCGAUGGUCGCAAUCCUUGAAGACUGGCGAAUCUACUCAAAUUCCAAGAGUAGCAAAAGGAUCUAGAUUGGCUCGCCACCUAUUGGAGAUCAUCACGAUAAUCCAUUCUGUAGACGGGAUCUAAAGACAAUUUAACAAUAAAAACCCAAGGAACAACAAUUUUCAAAGUCGAUAUGUAUUCAUCAAUAAACUAUACUUUAUUUUAACUUUUUUUUAAUAGAACUAGAUGAAAUAAAGUUGUUUCAUUCUAACCUACAAA